rnacentral:rRNA from 1 species
UACGUAGGGUGCAAGCGUUAAUCGGAAUUACUGGGCGUAAAGCGUGCGCAGGCGGUGAUGUAAGACAGAUGUGAAAUCCCCGGGCUCAACCUGGGAACUGCAUUUGUGACUGCAUCGCUGGAGUGCGGCAGAGGGGGAUGGAAUUCCGCGUGUAGCAGUGAAAUGCGUAGAUAUCUGGAGGAACACCGGUGGCGAAGGCGGCAUCCUGGACCAACACUGACGCUGAGGAGCGAAAGCCAGGGGAGCAAACGGG